GAUUUCCUCCCAUCCUGUGGCACGGCCCGAUCUCCACAUUCCCACCGUUUGUGUGGCCCAUGCUGUCUAUACAGUAACUCGUGUCAUAUCCACGGAUCUGAGCAGAACAGAUGAGAAUUCUCUUGCUCAAGGCUGAACUGGAAACUGUCCUGGACUUUCAUGCAAGCUGUACACUCACUACUUUACAUUGUACCAAAGUGUCAAAUCUUCAGUGUUGUCACAUGAAAAUAUAUAAUAAAAAAUUUACAAAACGUGA